CCCUUAGAUGUUCUGGGCCGCACGCGUGCUACACUGAGUGGAUCAGCGGGUCAGGUUACGCGAGAGCGUUUCCUAAUCUUCAAAUCCGCUCGUGAUGGGGAUUGACGGUUGCAAUUUUCCGUCAUGAACGAGGAAUACCUUGUAAGCGCAGGUCAUCAUCCCGCGCUGAAUACGUCCCUGCCCUUUGUACACACCGCCCGUCGCUCCUACCGAUUGAGUGGUCCGGUGAGGCUUUGGGAUCUAAGCGAAAAGAGCGUUUCGCUCCUUUUGCUGGGAGAACUCAGUCGAACCUUAUCAUUUAGAGGAAGGAGAAGUCGUAACA
rnacentral:rRNA from 1 species